rnacentral:rRNA from 1 species
GCAGGGAAUAUUGCGCAAUGGACGAAAGUCUGACGCAGCGACGCCGCGUGGAGGAUGAAGAUCUUCGGGUUGUAAACUCCUUUUUCUGGGGACGAACUAUGACGGUACCCAGGGAAUAAGUCUCGGCCAACUACGUGCCAGCAGCCGCGGUAAUACGUAGGAGGCAAGCGUUAUCCGGAUUUAUUGGGCGUAAAGAGGGAGUAGGUGGCUCUUCAAGUCGGAUGUAAAAUCUUUCGGCUCAACCGGAAGGGAUCGUCCGAUACUGUUGGGCUGGAGUGCAGCAGAGGGAGUUGGAAUUCCCGGUGUAGUGGUGAAAUGCGUAGAUAUCGGGAGGAACACCAGUGGCGAAGGCGAGCUCCUGGGCUGUAACUGACGCUGAUGCCCGAAAGCGUGGGGAGCGAACAGGAUUAGAUACCCUAGUAGUCC